rnacentral:rRNA from 1 species
UACGGGGGGGGCAAGCGUUGUUCGGAAUUACUGGGCGUAAAGGGCUCGUAGGCGGCCAACUAAGUCAGACGUGAAAUCCCUCGGCUUAACCGGGGAACUGCAUCUGAUACUGGAUGGCUUGAGUUCGGGAGAGGGAUGCGGAAUUCCAGGUGUAGCGGUGAAAUGCGUAGAUAUCUGGAGGAACACCGGUGGCGAAGGCGGCAUCCUGGACCGACACUGACGCUGAGGAGACGAAAGGCCAGGG